UUUGGAAGUAAAAGUCGUAACAAGGUCUCCGUUGGUGAACCAGCGGAGGGAUCAUUGCUGGAACGCGCUUCGGCGCACCCAGAAACCCUUUGUGAACUUAUACCUAUUGUUGCCUCGGCGUCAGGCCGGCCUCUUCACUGAGGCCCCCCGGAGACGGGGAGCAGCCCGCCGGCGGCCAACUAAACUCUUGUUUCUAUAGUGAAUCUCUGAGUAAAAAACAUAAAUGAAUCAAAACUUUCAACAACGGAUCUCUUGGUUCUGGCAUCGAUGAAGAACGCAGCGAAAUGCGAUAAGUAAUGUGAAUUGCAGAAUUCAGUGAAUCAUCGAAUCUUUGAACGCACAUUGCGCCCUCUGGUAUUCCGGAGGGCAUGCCUGUUCGAGCGUCAUUUCAACCCUCAAGCCUGGCUUGGUGAUGGGGCACUGCUUCGAAAGGAGCAGGCCCUGAAAUUCAGUGGCGAGCUCGCCAGGACCCCGAGCGUAGUAGUUAUAUCUCGCUUUGGAAGGCCCUGGCGGUGCCCUGCCGUUAAACCCCCAACUUCUGAAAAUUGA
rnacentral:sRNA from 1 species